GGUCUGGAAAGUCCGACGGUACAGGGUGAUAGUCCCGUACACCAAAAUGCACAGGUUGUGAACUCGAAGAGUAGGGCGGGACACGUGGUAUCCUGUCUGAAUAUGGGGGGACCAUCCUCCAAGGCUAAAUACUCCUGACUGACCGAUAGUGAACCAGUACCGUGAGGGAAAGGCGAAAAGAACCCCGGCGAGGGGAGUGAAAAAGAACCUGAAACCGUGUACGUACAAGCAGUGGGAGCACCUUCGGGUGUGACUGCGUACCUUUUGUAUAAUGGGUCAGCGACUUAUAUUCUGUAGCAAGGUUAACCGUAUAGGGGAGCCGCAGGGAAACCGAGUCUUAACUGGGCGUUAAGUUGCAGGGUAUAGACCCGAAACCCGGUGAUCUAGCCAUGGGCAGGUUGAAGGUUGGGUAACACUAACUGGAGGACCGAACCGACUAAUGUUGAAAAAUUAGCGGAUGACUUGUGGCUGGGGGUGAAAGGCCAAUCAAACCGGGAGAUAGCUGGUUCUCCCCGAAAGCUAUUUAGGUAGCGCCUCGUGAACUCAUCUUCGGGGGUAGAGCACUGUUUCGGCUAGGGGGUCAUCCCGACUUACCAACCCGAUGCAAACUACGAAUACCGAAGAAUGUUAUCACGGGAGACACACGGCGGGUGCUAACGUCCGUCGUGAAGAGGGAAACAACCCAGACCGCCAGCUAAGGUCCCAAAGUCAUGGUUAAGUGGGAAACGAUGUGGGAAGGCACAGACAGCCAGGAUGUUGGCUUAGAAGCAGCCAUCAUUUAAAGAAAGCGUAAUAGCUCACUGGUCGAGUCGGCCUGCGCGGAAGAUGUAACGGGGCUAAACCAUGCACCGAAGCUGCGGCAGCGACACUAUGUGUUGUUGGGUAGGGGAGCG
rnacentral:rRNA from 1 species